rnacentral:rRNA from 1 species
GAUGAACGCUAGCUACAGGCUUAACACAUGCAAGUCGAGGGGUAGCACGUAGGAAGCUUGCUUCCUUGGGUGACGACCGGCGCACGGGUGAGUAACGCGUAUCCGACCUACCCAUAACACGGGCACAGCCGAUCGAAAGAUCGAUUGAUUCCCGAUAUGUUAUAUAAGUAUAUUAUAUAAUGAAAGAUUCAUCGGUUAUGGAUGGGGAUGCGUAAGAUUAGGUAGUAGGCGGGGUAACGGCCCACCUAGCCGACGAUCUUUAGGGGUUCUGAGAGGAAGGUCCCCCACACUGGUACUGAGACACGGACCAGACUCCUACGGGAGGCAGCAGUGAGGAAUAUUGGUCAAUGGGCGGAAGCUUGAACCAGCCAAGUAGCGUGAAGGAUUACAGCCCUACGGGUUUUAAACUUCUUUUAUAUAAGAGUAAUGUGCACUACGUGUAGUAUAUUGCAAGUAUUAUAUGAAUAAGCAUCGGCUAACUCCGUGCCAGCCGCCGCGGUAAAAC